GUGAGUCAUCGAAUCUUUGAACGCACAUUGCGCUCUCUGGUAUUCCGGGGAGCAUGCUCGUUUCAGAAUCAUUACAAUCUCGAAGACCAACUUGGCUUUUAGGGCCUUGAAACGUCUGUCGGAUGUGGAUUUCGUUUUUCCUGAUUUAUCAGGAAAAUGAUCUGAAAGUGAUUGCGUUUGCCUCCGAUCGUGGGAUUGGUCAUCAUCAAGUGCAACAGAUUUAGUUUGUUCACUCUUGAUCUGACGUGGUCUUCAAUACGAUUGGGACAAGGCUGGACGUUCUACAUUUUUUUACAGAGA
rnacentral:misc_RNA from 1 species